rnacentral:tRNA from 2 species
CGCCUUCGAGGCCGUCGGUGCGUGCGCCCGCGGGCUGAUGUCCCGCGAGGACGUCGACAUCAUCGAGCGCGCGAUCUGUCCGGGCGAGGGCGCC